rnacentral:rRNA from 1 species
UACGUAGGGGGCAAGCGUUGUCCGGAAUCAUUGGGCGUAAAGAGCGUGUAGGCGGUUCGGUAAGUCGGCUGUGAAAGUCCAGGGCUCAACCCUGGGAUGCCGGUCGAUACUGCCGGACUAGAGUUCGGAAGAGGCGAGUGGAAUUCCCGGUGUAGCGGUGAAAUGCGCAGAUAUCGGGAGGAACACCUAUGGCGAAGGCAGCUCGCUGGGACGUUACUGACGCUGAGGAGCGGAAGCGUGGGGAGCGAACAGG